CUCCUACCCAUCGGCCCCUCACCCAAGAAAGAGAAAACUUCAUCUUUCUCUCCAAGAAAGCCAUAGUCGACCUUCAUCUCUUUCCUUCCUCUUUUCUUUUCAUCUUCAAGAAACCAAGUUCCUCUCAUCUCCUUCAAGCCGUGCCACUCCAUAGCAAGGGAAGAAAACAUCUUCCUCCAUCUCCAAGCCAUGUGUACCUCAUCUCUACCCAUUUUCGGUUUUGACUCAAAGCUUGGAACCAAAGCUUGAUUUCAUCUUCCAAAUGGUCAAAUAUUGAAGUGCCAUCAUUUCAUUCAUCAUCUACAUGGGUUUACCACUAUUUGGUCCUCUAUCUUGCCUCUUGAAAGAAGCUAAGAGCUUCAGGACCUAUAUUGACUUUGGAAGUAUCGGGGAGCAUAGAGGUAA